rnacentral:rRNA from 1 species
AUUGAACGCUGGCGGCAGGCCUAACACAUGCAAGUCGAGCGGAUGAAGGGAGCUUGCUCCUGGAUUCAGCGGCGGACGGGUGAGUAAUGCCUAGGAAUCUGCCUGGUAGUGGGGGAUAACGUCCGGAAACGGGCGCUAAUACCGCAUACGUCCUGAGGGAGAAAGUGGGGGAUCUUCGGACCUCACGCUAUCAGAUGAGCCUAGGUCGGAUUAGCUAGUUGGUGGGGUAAAGGCCUACCAAGGCGACGAUCCGUAACUGGUCUGAGAGGAUGAUCAGUCACACUGGAACUGAGACACGGUCCAGACUCCUACGGGAGGCAGCAGGGGGGAAUAUUGGACAAUGGGCGAAAGCCUGAUCCAGCCAUGCCGCGUGUGUGAAGAAGGUCUUCGGAUUGUAAAGCACUUUAAGUUGGGAGGAAGGGCAGUAAGUUAAUACCUGCUGUUUUGACGUUACCAACAGAAUAAGCACCGGCUAACUUCGUG